GCCUCCGUAGCUCAGCGGAUAGAGCAGCCGCCUUCUAAGCGGUUGGUCGCAGGUUCGAUCCCUGCCGGGGGCGCAA
rnacentral:tRNA from 3 species